rfam:Candidatus Yanofskybacteria bacterium RIFCSPLOWO2_01_FTLL_43_22 rifcsplowo2_01_scaffold_14105, whole genome shotgun sequence.
UUGCCUCCAUGAAGCCGGAAUUGCUAGUAAUCGCAGAUCAGAAUGCUGCGGUGAAUACGUUCUCGAAUUUUGCACUCACUGCCCGUCAAUUCAAGGGAGCCGGUAAUACCUUAAGACCACGUUUUAUUAUGUGGGCCACGGUAGGAUCGGUGACAGGGAAUAAGUCGUUGAUGCAAUCUGCAUAUUGCGACCUUC